UGUUAAAUUUUUUUUUAUUUCUACAAUUAAAAAUGGGUAUGACUGAUCAAAUAACCAAGCAACUACACGUGGCACGCCAUGUAUACCUCAUUCUAGUGUAAAGGAACCAACUUUUAAUAGUAAAAAUGAAAUAAAUUUUUAACA
rfam:Gossypium hirsutum cultivar TM-1 chromosome 3, whole genome shotgun sequence